rnacentral:misc_RNA from 1 species
GCUUCAAACCCACACGGAGCACUUCAAGCCGUUGAUGAAAACAAAAUGCCAUCCACACAUUCACUUCUUCAUUUGCUCCGUUUUUGCUCCAAUGUGCCCGAUUGGAAUGCCACAGGCCGUGACAAGCUGCAAAUCCGUUUGCGAGCAAGUGAAAGCGGAUUGCUUCUCGAUAUUGGAAGAAUUCGGGAUUGGAUGGCCGGAGCCGCUGAAUUGUGCACAAUUCCCAGAUCCACCGGAGCUUUGCAUGAAGCCUACGGAAGACGAGAUAACUGGAGGAUUUUCGGCUCCCCGGCUGCCUACAAAAGGCUCGAGCUCAUCAUCCUCCAAGCCAACCGGGUGCCCCAGUGACCUUGUCGAUGUGGAUCCACACGAUCCCAAGUCGCAUUGUGCAUUCGCGUGCCAGUCGAAUGUGAUGUUUAGUACGGAUAAUAAGCGUAUGGUACGUUCAUGGUCAAUUUGGUUUGCCGCCGCAAACGCCGGCGUUGCUCUUUUCUCCUUCUUGACGUUCGCCAUCGACCGAAAGCGAUUCCGUUUCCCGGAGAGAUGCGUCUUCUACCUAUCCCUGUGCAUCUUCAUCUCCUCCCUCCCAUACCUCACGCCACUCUUCAUCGAUGCUCCGAUCCGAUCCUGCCACGCACUUGGAAACGGGCGGUCAUACCUGUCAAUCGGAACAUUUGACAAUUCAUAUUGUCUUGCCUCAUUCCUUCUUAACUACUUCUUCAGUACAGCGGCUGCCCUUUGGUGGUUAAUGUUCUCAUUUACACUGUAUUUGAGCGGUGGAAGGAAAUGGGUGCCAGAAGGUAUCGAAGCAUGCAGUAGUUAUGUGCAUUUUGUUGCCUGGGGAUUGUCGUCGCUGGCCACGAUUAUUGUGCUCAUUUUCAACAAAGUCGACGCGAGUGAGCUCACCGCUCUUUGCUCCGUUGGGAAUUUGAAUUCGAUUGCGUUGCUCUGGUUUGUGAUUGUUCCCCGAACUAUUUGCAUUGUUAUUGGAACAUGUUUUAUUGUUGGAGGAUUUGCGAGCAUGUGCAGAGAGAGAAUUAGUUUCAGAACAAGGGGCACAGACACAUCGAAAUUGGAGAAACUAAUGGUGAAAAUGGGCUUCUUCUGUGCUUUAUUCAUCCUUCCCAACGUCAUCGAACUUGUCUGUCAAUGCUAUAAAUUCAUGAUUCUCACCCAAUGGACCCGAAUGACAAUUGACUGUAAACAACAGUCAGGUGCAUGUCAUCGGCCGACACCGCCGCAGGCUGAAAUUUACAUGACCGCCGUAAUUUCCAGUCUCGCCACAGGAUUCUCGUGUCUGAUGUGGGUGUUGUCGGCGAAGACCGUCCACGCCUGGAAGAACUUCAUCUUCUGUGGAAUGUGCUCGUCGGCGCCGGUUAAAAACCCAAUCGAGCCAUCAACACGUCCAUUGCUCGAGCCACCAACUGCUCCGCCACCACAACCACCGGUAUACAUGCAAAUGGCGACGAAUCCUCAGAAUUCAUGGAGACCCAGUAA